UACGGAGGGUGCAAGCGUUAUCCGGAUUUACUGGGUUUAAAGGGUGUGUAGGCGGGUCUUUAAGUCAGUGGUGAAAUCUCCGAGCUCAACUUGGAAACUGCCAUUGAUACUAUUGAUCUUGAAUUUUGUUGAGGUAGGCGGAAUAAGUCAUGUAGCGGUGAAAUGCAUAGAUAUGACUUAGAACACCAAUUGCGAAGGCAGCUUACUAAGCAAACAUUGACGCUGAGGCACGAAAGCGUGGGGAUCAAACAGG
rnacentral:rRNA from 1 species